GGGCGCAGGCUCGUCCCCGCGUCGGAGGAAGACGUCGCGGGGUCCCCGUCGUUGUUUCCCAGACACGCCGCGUCCGAAUACCGGCUUCCGUCGACGACCCAGGACUCCAGCUUCAUUCCAAAAAGGCCGAACUACUUUGCCUGCAGCUACUCAGACACAUGUCGUAAAGCUCUGUCUGAGUUUUACCAGCACCGGCAUGGUGAAGAUCCAACGGAAAUCAACUGAUCUGCCAGCUGUUGUAAACUACAACAACCAACAAUUUGAAAUACUGCCGGCUUCCUGGAUCUUACUCUACACAAUCCUGCGGGAUGCCAGUUCGUGCACGGACAAACCUUUGACCAACUCCCCAAGAAUGCACUGGGAAAGAGCGGCAUCAAGAGGCUGAUUCGGGCAGAGCAAAUACAGUAAACAUCCUACACGUCAUUAAAGAGGAGCAUCGUGACAUGAGUCAAACCGGACACCUUAUCAAGAAGUCCGCACUUUGACAUGAAACCAUAAAUAAAGAUACUCUUCCCUGUU